GUCGCGGUUAGGAAAUUUCCCUUGCGGUUUUUAUGGGUGGCUCAAUAGCGCGGUAUGCGGUAUUACCGCCGUUUAAAAAUAAAUAAAUAAAUAAAAAUCUUGAUUUUACUGCAUACAAAGCUCUAUUGCUGAGUUAUGUAGCAUAUAUUGUUGCUUUUUAACUGACAGAGACACAAAACAUUUUUUGUUUAUUUUUUUAAUGCCAAACAGCAAUAAGAACAUGCCUUUUCCAAUUUAAAAAACGAAAUCAAAUCAUUCUAAAUUAGGCUAACAAUAAACAAACAAUAAGAAAUUAUUUUUUCCAAUUUG